GUCUCUUUGGGACAUGCAAUAAAAUUGGAACAAUACAGAGAAGAUCAGGGUGGCCUCUCUGCAUGGAUGAUAUACCCAAAUCAAGAAAUGAUUUAAAUUUUU
rnacentral:snRNA from 1 species